CUGGGGGUAUAGCCAAGAUGGCAGAGUAAUCCUCAGCAGCUCUAUACCAACAUGAGAAUCUUUCCCAACCAAAAUUAAAAUAUUGCCACAAAAUUAAUAUAGGAGUGAAAGAACCAACAAGAAGGCAGAGUGAAACAACUUUCAAGAAAAAAAAAACAAAGAUCUCCAAGCACUUACAAGGGAAAGAUUGCAUUACUACGAAUGAAUGUGAAACAGAGUUGCCUAAAGCAUUUCAACAGAGCAAGUGCUGCAAUGGAGUUGGGAUGAUAAUUGCCAGACAAGAGCCAAAAAGUGGACAAGGUGAAGAAGACAGUUUGAUGCUAGGCAUUGUCAAGGUUAUAGCUUAGCUCCUCCUAGGAAUUGUCUCUGGAAACUGAGAGUGAAGAAUAAAGGAGCAAUAAGGAGCA
rnacentral:lncRNA from 1 species